rnacentral:rRNA from 1 species
GGCCUCAAAUCAGGUAGGACUACCCGCUGAACUUAAGCAUAUCAAUAAGCGGAGGAAAAGAAACUAACAAGGAUUCCCCUAGUAACGGCGAGUGAAGCGGGAAGAGCUCAAAUUUGAAAUCUGGUGGACUUUGUUCAUCCGAGUUGUAAUCUAGAGAAGUGUUUUCUGUGCCGGCCAAUGUACAAGUCCCUUGGAACAGGGCGUCAUAGAGGGUGAGAAUCCCGUACUUGACAUUGAGCACCGGUGCUCUGUGAUACAUUUUCAAAGAGUCGAGUUGUUUGGGAAUGCAGCUCAAAAUGGGUGGUAAAUUCCAUCUAAAGCUAAAUAUUGGCGAGA